AGAAAAGCUUGUCAAUGACACAGCAAAGUAAAACCCAAAUGAAGCAAGAUGAAGAAUGGGCUGCACAGCAGGUAAAACUGCACCACGUUACAGACUGCUCGCCUGGGAUGGAACGGUGGAGAGGUGCGCAGAGGGAUGGACAAGCGCCUGGCAAGAUGGAUUUUUUUCCCCAGACUUCUAAUGCUACUAACACUUCCCUCCUCACAAGGUCGCUAUAACAAGGUAACAUACAGCACUUAGAAGACGGCCUGACCCAGAGUAACACUAAUGUUCACCUGGCUGCGACUCUCAGACCAAAAUGAAUAGCUGGUAUCUACUGAAACUUCAGCAAGGCGAAACCAGGGGAAUGGCGCUCCUUUGAGCAGAGCAACGCGCAUCACAUCACUUCCUCCGUAGGGGGAGGCUCCGGUCUCACUGGAGCAGCACUUCCCGGAAGAGCCCAGGAUAUUCGGGGACCGCCACUGGACAGCAGUCCAGGCCCCCUGGCGCCCAGCCUGCCGCCCUGUUACAGCUCUCAUGCCAAGACGUGCGCCUAAGGGCAGGGAUUCCCGCGGUCAUUUAUUCUUGGCGCUAAGCUGCCGCCUCUUUUCUAUCACCACCGAGUAACGCACACCCCACCGUUUCCUUCCAUUCUGAGUCAACCGCUCCAGCAGCUACAGGGGCGCCAGGUUGUGCGGGGUCAGCACCACCCGGCCCCAAGCUUUUGAAGCCACGCCCGGACGCCGAGGAUGGGCAGCAUUUGCCCUGUGAACUCUCGCACACGCAGGCUCCGCGCGAGUCCCGGGCGCCCGAGCGGGGAUUCCCCUCCCCGUCACCAGCUCCAGGGUGGGGUCCCCGGGCUGGGGAGCCCAGACCCCGGCAGUCCAGCAGCCUAUAGACGAUCCACGUCCGUCGUGCAACUCACCGCGCUGGGGAUCCGCCUCCUCCCGCCAGGGCGAGGGCGAGGGCGCCGUGUAUGCUGCGCAGGCGCGGUCCGUCCUCCCGGGUAUGCUGCGCAGGCGCGCCCCGCCCUCCCGGUCACGAGCUACAGUGCUCGGGCACGGGAUCACGCCUACAGCCCAAGAGGCUGGAAAAAUGCCGCCCUGUCCCUGAACAGGAAGCGGAAGCAGGAAGGAACUGAGAACACUGGCAUCUGCUACCGCCCUGAAUCAGCGUUAGCAUGUGGAGGCAACCUCAGCCCCCAGUUUUUUGAAAAGGUAAUUCGGAUUUGUACCCAGGAAUUAUGGUGAGGAUAGAAAUGGACUGGAAGGUUCCUUCCCCUUGCCCACCAAGACUCCAGAGCAGGUGGGUACCUGAUGUCUACUCUGCAUGAAGCCCUGGGCUUUCCACACCUCCCUACUUUUCCUCCGAACUCACAGCACAGCUGAGCCAAAAUGUAUUCCUGCCAAAACGGGCAUUUCCCAAAAGAAAAUACUGUUUUAGAUUCAUUGUUCACAGCCUCUUUCCUUCGUCUCCCCUUCCUUUCCUCAUCUCUUGCUCUAAUUGGAGAAUUUGACAACUCUGAACCUCUGACCGUGGACAACCCCAACUCCAGCAAGCCCGGGCAAGAAUGGGGCAGUUGCAGCCCAAGGUAGCCAAACGUAAAUUUUGCUUAGUUAGAGACCAUGGAGAGGUCAGACCAAGAAGUGGUAGGGAGUGACUGGCCUGAGGCCUUUCUUUGGGCCAGUUAGUGUUGAAUGAAAUGAUAAAUAUAGCCACAUUGUCUGGAAGCGCUUCAGGUAAUAAUUAUUCUCUAAGGAAAGCAGUCAUCAUAUUUAUAUCCAUAAAAUCAGUUUAUUAAAGAAGUUACAUAGCAAUAUACAUCCCAAACCUUUUCUCAGAAUUGUCAUUAGCUUUUUAAAUUCAUUAAAUAUUUUCAUCUCAUUAAAAAUGGUUUCUUCCUUUAAAAUUUCCCAGAAAGUGUGGCCUCUGUUUUCUGCUACUCAGUUUAAACACGUCAUCAGGGAUAGAUAAUAAAUAAUGUCAUGUGAGCAUAAAAGGAGAUUUAUAAACCAGAAAUGUAUUUUCUGGGAACCAAGUUUCAAGUGACUCAGGUAAGUUUUAUUAAUUUCACGGGUGAAGCCCUUGGAUAAAGCAGUGCCUAAAUCAAGCUUGUUUACCCUUGGCAUCAUGUGACCAAACACUGUUGCAGGAUAGUGGAAGUACAGCUUGGGAGGCCUUUGGCCUGAGCCUGUUUUGCCCAAGCCCAUCCAGAAUGAAGAGUACAAAGGAAGGCUAGUGUGUAUGCAAAGCAGCAUGGCUUAUUUUGAGGUCCUAUUAGUUGUGGGCCAACAAAACAGUGGCAGGAUCUGAAGGAAGAAAUGUAUUGCAGCAGACCAUAUCCUUUAAACCACAAAGGGAAACUGAGGAAAUGCUGGCUUUAGGCCAAAAAACCCUAGCUCAAAACACAGCUUCCUCCAGUGGCUCAGAGGCAGACCAAGUUCAUCAAGUCAAGGACCUUUUCCUGCUACCACCUUGGGGAGAGGGGCCUUCACCAGCCCGCCCUGCACCUGGGUCUCUGCUGUUCAGAACCUACCCAGUAACAACAGUAGCAAACAUCCACGUUUUCCCCUUAUGUAACUUGGGAAACUGUUGGGCACAGUGGCUCACACCUGUAACCUCAGCACUUUGGGAGGCCAAGACAGGAGGAACACUUGAGUCUAGGAGUUCAAGACCAGCCUGGGCAACGUAGGGAGACCCGUCUACAAAAAAA